UGGGAGCUCCAGGGAGACUGCCGGUGAUAAACCGGAGGAAGGUGGGGACGACGUCAAGUCAUCAUGGCCCUUACGAGUAGGGCUACACACGUGCUACAAUGGCGCAUACAGAGGGCUGCAAGCUAGCGAUAGUGAGCGAAUCCCAAAAAGUGCGUCGUAGUCCGGAUUGGAGUCUGCAACUCGACUCCAUGAAGUCGGAAUCGCUAGUAAUCGUAGAUCAGAAUGCUACGGUGAAUACGUUCCCGGGCCUUGUACACACCGCCCGUCACACCAUGGGAGUGGGCUGCAAAAGAAGUGGGUAGUUUAACCUUCGGGAGGACGCUCACCACUUUGUGGUUCAUGACUGGGGUGAAGUCGUAACAAGGUAGCCCUAGGGGAACCUGGGGCUGGAUCACCUCCUUA
rnacentral:rRNA from 1 species